rnacentral:rRNA from 1 species
GACGAACGCUGGCGGCGCGCUUAACACAUGCAAGUCGAGCGAGAACCGAGGCUUCGGCCUCGGGGACAGCGGCGAACGGGUGAGUAACACGUGGAUAACCUGCCCUCGGCACCGGGAUAGCCCGGGGAAACUCGGAUUAAUACCGGAUGGCCCUUCCGGCUCUCGAGCCGGUCGGAAAAGGUAGCUUCGGCCUCCGGCCGAGGAUGGGUCCGCGGCGGAUUAGCUUGUUGGUGGGGUAACGGCCCCCCAAGGCUACGAUCCGUAGCUGGUCUGAGAGGACGAUCAGCCACACUGGGACUGAGACACGGCCCAGACUCCUACGGGAGGCAGCAGUGGGGAAUCUUGCGCAAUGGGCGAAAGCCUGACGCAGCGACGCCGCGUGAGGGAAGAAGGCCUUCGGGUUGUAAACCGCUUUUGUCAGGGAAGAAAAGGUUCUGGCUAAUAUCCGGGACUCAUGACGGUACCUGAAGAAUAAGCACCGGCUAACUACGUGCCAGCAGCCGCAGUAAUAC